GGAUCUCUUGGUUCUGGCAUCGAUGAAGAACGCAGCGAAAUGCGAUAAGUAAUGCGAAUUGCAGAAUUCCAGUGAGUCAUCGAAUCUUUGAACGCACAUUGCGCCCUUUGGUAUUCCGAAGGGCAUGCCUGUUCGAGCGUCAUUAUCACCCCUCAAGCCCCCGGCUUGGUGUUGGACGGUUUGGCGGAGGCCCCCUCGGGGGCCCUCGCCCCUCCCAAAGACAAUGACGGCGGCCUCGUUGGACCCCCGGUACACUGAGUUCUUCACGGGACACGUACUGGAAUAAGGGUGCGCGGGGCACGGUCUGCCUCCCCUUUUAGGGAGAAUUUUAACUACAAGGUUGACCUCGGAUCAGGUAGGGAUACCCGCUGAANUUAAGCAUAUCAAUAAGCGGAGGA
rnacentral:rRNA from 1 species